rnacentral:lncRNA from 1 species
CUUUGUCCAGGCGCACAGAGGAUGACAGUCACUGGUGACUGGUUGGGAGUGGGUUGUCUUGGAUACAGAAAGAUGGCUUGUGCUGGUCUUUGAAACAGGGGUUGUGCUGGUGGUGGGAACGGGGCUGGGAGUAGUUCCAGGACCAGAGGUCGUGCUGGUUGUAGGAGCAGAGGUUGUGCUCGUGGUGGGAACAGGGCUGAGAGAAGUUCCAGGACCAGAGGUUGUGCUGGCUGUAGAGGCAGAGGUUGUGCUGGUUGUAGGAGCAGAGGUUGUGCUGGUGGUGGGAACAGGGCUGGGAGUAGUUCCAGGACCAGAGGUUGUGCUGGUUGUAGGAGCAGAGGUUGUGCUGGUGGUGGGAACAGGGCUGGGAGUAGUUCCAGGACCAGAGGUCAUGCGGUUAUAGGAGCAGAGGUUGUGCUG